UACGAAGGGGGCUAGCGUUGCUCGGAAUCACUGGGCGUAAAGCGCACGUAGGCGGAUUGCUAAGUCAGGGGUGAAAUCCUGGAGCUCAACUCCAGAACUGCCUUUGAUACUGAAGAUCUUGAGUCCGGGAGAGGUGAGUGGAACUGCGAGUGUAGAGGUGAAAUUCGUAGAUAUUCGCAAGAACACCAGUGGCGAAGGCGGCUCACUGGCCCGAUACUGACGCUGAGGUGCGAAAGCGUGGGGAGCAAACAGG
rnacentral:rRNA from 1 species